ACGUAGGAUCCGAGCGUUGUCCGGAAUUACUGGGUGUAAAGGGCGUGUAGGUGGAUUCCUAAGUCGGUGGUGAAAGCCUGCAGCUUAACUGCAGAAUUGCCUUCGAUACUGGGGAUCUUGAGUGCGGCAGAGGGAGAUGGAAUUCAUGGUGUAGCGGUGAAAUGUGUAGAUAUCAUGAAGAACACCGGUAGCGAAGGCGGUCUCCUGGUCCGCAACUGACACUGAUGCGCGAAAGCGUGGGGAGCAAACAGGAUUAGAUACCCUGGUAGUCCACGCCUUAAACGAUGGGUACUAGGUGCUGGGUCGCAAGAUUCAGUGCCAAAGCUAACGCAUUAAGUACCCCACCUGGGGAGUACGAUCGCAAGGUUG
rnacentral:rRNA from 1 species